GUGGGGAAUUUUGCACAAUGGAGGAAACUCUGAUGCAGCGACGCCGCGUGAACGAAGAAGGUCUUCGGAUUGUAAAGUUCUGUCCUGGGUGAAGAUAAUGACGGUAACUCAGGAGGAAGCCCCGGCUAACUACGUGCCAGCAGCCGCGGUAAUACGUAGGGGGCGAGCGUUGUUCGGAAUUAUUGGGCGUAAAGGGUACGUAGGCGGUUUGUUAAGUUUGGCGUUAAAUCACGGGGCUCAACCCCGUUCAGCGUUGAAAACUGGCAAACUUGAGUAGUAGAGGGGACAGUGGAAUUCCUAGUGUAGCGGUGAAAUGCGUAGAGAUUAGGAAGAAUACCGGUGGCGAAGGCGACUGUCUGGAUACAUACUGACGCUCAGGUACGAAAGCGUGGGGAGCAAACAGGAUUAGAAACCCUAGUAGUCC
rnacentral:rRNA from 1 species